GUCCGUGUAUUGUAUGCCUCAGCUACCUGCUUUCAAGGGUUCAGCCCCUAUAAAUCUUUCAGACCGUCUCCAUCAGGUUCUUAGAUGGGCGCUGGGAUCAGUUGAAAUUUUGUUGAGCAAGCAUUGCCCCAUCUGGUAUGGCUAUGGUGGUGGAUUGAAGAGGCUUGAGAGGCUCUCUUACAUAAACUCUGUUGUGUAUCCUUUGACGUCCAUUCCCUUGAUUGUCUACUGUUCCUUGCCGGCUCUCUGCCUUAUCACUGGAAAAUUCAUUGUUCCUGAGAUCAGUAAUUAUGCCAGCAUUA
rnacentral:misc_RNA from 1 species